rfam:Myotis lucifugus cont2.7568, whole genome shotgun sequence.
AGCAGCUCUUGGGUGACACACCCCGGAAUAAGGCUCCCUCCUCUCUGGUUCUGAGUGUGUCACCUGAGAACUGCA